GAUAAGUGCUGAAAGCAUCUAAGCAUGAAGCCCCCCUCAAGAUGAGAUUUCCCAUAGCGUAAGCUAGUAAGAUCCCUGAAAGAUGAUCAGGUUGAUAGGUUCGAGGUGGAAGCAUGGUGACAUGUGGAGCUGACGAAUACUAAUAGAUCGAGGACUUAACCAUAUAA
rnacentral:rRNA from 2 species